rnacentral:lncRNA from 1 species
UUGAUGUGUUGGAUAUUUGGAAGAACGACAAAAGAUUGAGCAAUGUGGUGCACAACAAUCGUUCAAUUCUUUCGAGGAAUAAUAAGGCGAACGCCUCCCACUCAUUUUUUCGUUUAAAUUACUUAUUGAAAUUUUGUUUGUGGAAUUCGAAUAUGCACGGUAGUGAGGCGUCCGCCUCCCACUUGCUUAUUCUAGAACAAAC